GCUGCUGCUCAGCGCUCUCCUAACCCUCUCCCCAACUUAUCUUGAAAAGAAAAAGCCUUCAGACUGUUCAGGGCGAUGGAACCCGCCUGGCUUGAAGAAAGCCGGCUGCUUAUGUCAAACUCCAUUACGGGACUGACCCAUGGGGCUGCUCCUCAUCUUGGCUUUGAUUGCAUGAACAACCUGGGGACUGCUGUCUUCCUCAGGGCUCAGCUGCUUCUUAAGAGCGAGGGCUUGAGUCCAGGAACUUGUGCCUGCUAGAUAGUACGUACCCUUCAGAGCCAAGCUUUGAAGGGACUGACCCUGGAGAGCGUGAGGAAGUCCUUCACAGUGAUGGCCUAGCCACCCUCUCAGGAAAAUGCAGUGACCUCUCCCCUCCUCCCUCUCCACGCCCAGAUCCUCAAGCAACAGCAAAACCAAGGGAGCCAGCCCUGCCACUAGAACCCAGUUCCUGUCACCUCCAAAAACAGCCCGGUUGUACCAGGCAGUUUGGUUUUUG